CUUUAGGUCGAUAUCGCAUUUCAGUUUAUAAGAAAAUACCAGAAAAUUAUUUGUAGUAAUUAAAAUCACACAAUUAUUAUUAAUAAUAAAUGCUAUACAAAUGAAUUUAAUAUAAAACUCAAAUACAAUACCUAUCCCUCUGGAUAAAAUAAAACUUAAAGCAACAAGGGCGAGGGAACUCUAUAAAAUUAACAGGAAUCACAAGUAAAACUACUAGUCGUCUGCAUCUUCUAACUGAAUCUUCGAACCUGUGUCACUGAAAGGGUGGAAGAUUUUGGGGUGAGAACAAACCACACGUUCUCAGUAGGGAAUGGGAAUGCCGUAAAAGUAAUGAAUUUAAUGCAAAUAAUUAACUUUACUCAAUAAAACUAUUUUGUUAACCCUUUGGAAAUACUUUUAUUUCUACUUUAGAUAAAUAAUUACUUUUCUUUAAAUUUCUAAACUCAAAACAAAUUUUAAAUAUAAAACUAGUCACAUUUUCUGUCUCUCAGCCACAUAGUUAAUCCUCAGUCAAAUGUCAACACGUAAUCACUUUAAUACACUCACAAACAAAUAGUGCAAGCAAAAGAUUCAAUUCAAUGUACAAGCAAGUCACAACAAGACAAACAAUACAAUCACAAAGUAAUAAAACAGGCAAGCGCAAUCAAAUGCAAAUGCGCAAUCAAUAUGAUGCAUGUCUAUCCCUAACGCAGGCCAUGAGCUCAUGUGUCGGUUGCCUACCCGCUCCCGACAUUACCCGAGCACAAGUCCCAGAUAUGGUUUUCCAGAUGCAUCAGUGUGCUUAUAAGUCGUACGGCCAGGCCGCAUCAGUGUGACUUUAAGUCGUACAGCUAGGCCGCAUCAGUGUGACUUUCCAAAUCAAUAAGCGUACAUCUGGAAAACAGUUCUCAGUGUGUGGGGGUCCCCACUUUACAUUUGGCACUAAGGCCCAAACAAUGUCACAUCUGCUCUCCUGUGGCAGACACUUCAUUAAUUAAUAUAUUCUUUAAAUCCUUGUUCUCUGCUCUCCUGUGGCAGAGAUUCUAUAUAUUUGCAAUUAUCCAAUUAAUUUUGUAGGCAUUCUAAAUUAAAAACUUAACUUUAAAAACAAACCCCCUACCUUCGUAUGAAAUUAAAAUCAACGAAAGUUCUAGAAAAACUUUCUGACCGAGCUGCUGAAGAGGAAAGCGUCAGAAAUCAUCUGUGCCUCGUAGAAAUCCAGUUGGCCGAACUCAAGGGGAAGAGGAGCUACGUCACCGUCAACCUCCAUCGAACAAAAAUGAUGCCAACGUGUAGAGGAGGAAGAUAGAAACACUUUUACCGGAUUAGAUUUUUUAUUGGAGUUACGGAUCACAAGAAAAUUGGAGUUGAAAGUCACGGUUCCAUGGAAGUUU
rnacentral:lncRNA from 1 species